GAUGAACGCUGGCGGCGUGCCUAAUACAUGCAAGUCGAGCGAACAGACGAGGAGCUUGCUCCUCUGACGUUAGCGGCGGACGGGUGAGUAACACGUGGAUAACCUACCUAUAAGACUGGGAUAACUUCGGGAAACCGGAGCUAAUACCGGAUAAUAUAUUGAACCGCAUGGUUCAAUAGUGAAAGACGGUUUUGCUGUCACUUAUAGAUGGAUCCGCGCCGCAUUAGCUAGUUGGUAAGGUAACGGCUUACCAAGGCAACGAUGCGUAGCCGACCUGAGAGGGUGAUCGGCCACACUGGAACUGAGACACGGUCCAGACUCCUACGGGAGGCAGCAGUAGGGAAUCUUCCGCAAUGGGCGAAAGCUUGACGGAGCAACGCCGCGUGAGUGAUGAAGGUCUUCGGAUCGUAAAACUCUGUUAUUAGGGAAGAACAAAUGUGUAAGGAACUAUGCACGUCUUGACGGUACCUAAUCAGAAAGCCACGGCUAACUACGUG
rnacentral:rRNA from 1 species